UACGUAGGGUGCGAGCGUUGUCCGGAAUUAUUGGGCGUAAAGAGCUCGUAGGCGGUGUGUCGCGUCGGCCGUGAAAACCUGGGGCUUAACUCUGGGCGUGCGGUCGAUACGGGCAUCACUAGAGUUCGGCAGGGGAGACUGGAAUUCCUGGUGUAGCGGUGGAAUGCGCAGAUAUCAGGAAGAACACCCGUGGCGAAGGCGGCUCUCUGGGACGGUACUGACGCUGAGACGCGAAAGCGUGGGGAGCGAACAGG
rnacentral:rRNA from 1 species